GGCCCCGUAGCUCAGUGGUUAGAGCAGUCGACUCAUAAUCGAUUGGUCGCUGGUUCAAGUCCAGCCAGGGCCACCA
rnacentral:tRNA from 2 species